rnacentral:rRNA from 1 species
GAUGAACGCUGGCGGCGUGCCUAAUACAUGCAAGUCGAGCGAACAGACGAGGAGCUUGCUCCUCUGACGUUAGCGGCGGACGGGUGAGUAACACGUGGAUAACCUACCUAUAAGACUGGGAUAACUUCGGGAAACCGGAGCUAAUACCGGAUAAUAUAUUGAACCGCAUGGUUCAAUAGUGAAAGACGGUUUUGCUGUCACUUAUAGAUGGAUCCGCGCCGCAUUAGCUAGUUGGUAAGGUAACGGCUUACCAAGGCAACGAUGCGUAGCCGACCUGAGAGGGUGAUCGGCCACACUGGAACUGAGACACGGUCCAGACUCCUACGGGAGGCAGCAGUAGGGAAUCUUCCGCAGUGGGCGAAAGCCUGAGGAGCAACGCCGCGUGAGUGAUGAAGGUCUUCGGAUCGUAAAACUCUGUUAUUAGGGAAGAACAAAUGUGUAAGUAACUAUGCACGUCUUGACGGUACCUAAUCAGAAAGCCACGGCUAACUACGUG